AGUGUGCUUAACUAGCUAGUUGGAGGUUUUGGGUCCACCGAAGUCGACCCAGUCCAAGAGUCUGAUUUUGUGGCAAGAAAUCGUGUUACCUGACGGAUAAGAAUCCUGUUAGAGUUACUAGGAACCACGUACUUUUUCUCUAGUCUUGAAACAUACACAAGGAAAGAUAAUAUUUGGUUUUCCUCUAAGCAUAGGUUUAGGGUAUUACAAACACAGAGUUAGAUUUGGUGAAGAUCUUGUGUGAGUUCAUACUAAUUCUUCUAUAGAGGAUAUUAUUAUAUGUCAAGUUAAACAUAAACUUGAGAAUAUAUGGUAAUUGUAUACAUAAAAGUGAAUUUAUUCAAAGUUUGUUACGUAAUUUUGAGCGGAAAUUUUUCACUCAAAAUUUUGUGCUAUUGUGAGUGAUUUUUAUCUUGGGUUAGAAAUUUUGUUAACAAUAUAUAUUUGUUUUGGAAAUAUUUGUUUUGGAAUUAAUUAAAAUUCUAGUUUUGUUAUUUUUAUUAUUAUUAUUUUUAUAUUUUCUGAUCCAACAUGAGGACGCUGGAGUUAAGUCUAAGUACUGUAAAGGCACCGACAUGAUCUUAAUAUUCAUUUGUAAGAUAUGCAGAGAGUUCAAUGACCAACGAAGAAAUUCAAAAACAAAGAUACUAAUGGUCUGUUUGGAUCACAUGAAUUUGGAUUUGGAUUUGGAUUUGGAUUUGGAUUUGAGGGGGCCAAAUCCAAAUCCUUUGUUUGGGUAAGUUAAAAGAAAUGGAUUUGGAUUUGAUCCCAAAUCCAACCAGAAUUUGAUAAGCCCAAAUCCAUGGAUUUGAAAUACCUUCCUACAUGGUGGAAUUUGGAAAUCUCUCACUCUCACUCUCACUCUCACUCUCACGCACUAUUCUCUCUGGGCUCUCCGUGUCUUUCUUCCUAGCCACAACUCACAAGCGAUUCUUCCCUCUCUCCCUCUCUCUCAGCAACUUCAGAUACAAAAAUGACCAACGAUGGAAGAGAUAUAUCAAUUCAAUGAAAACGUAAAAGAGAGGAGAUGGAAGUAUACGAGGAAGAGGCAAUGAGAUUUGAGACUUUAUGUUUAUAUUUAUGUAUUGUAAUUUUCUUAUUUUGAAUUUUGUAUUAUUUGAAAAACAUAAUAGAAAUGGGAAGAAAAUACACAUAUUUUGGAUAUUUAA